GGACGAACGCUGGCGGCGUGCUUAACACAUGCAAGUCGAACGGAAAGGCUUCUUUCGGGGGGUACUCGAGUGGCGAACGGGUGAGUAACACGUGAGUAACCUGCCCUUGACUUUGGGAUAACUUCAGGAAACUGGGGCUAAUACCGGAUAGGAGCUCCUGCUGCAUGGUGGGGGUUGGAAAGUUUCGGCGGUUGGGGAUGGACUCGCGGCUUAUCAGCUUGUUGGUGGGGUAGUGGCUUACCAAGGCUUUGACGGGUAGCCGGCCUGAGAGGGUGACCGGCCACAUUGGGACUGAGAUACGGCCCAGACUCCUACGGGAGGCAGCAGUGGGGAAUAUUGCACAAUGGGUGGAAGCCUGAUGCAGCAACGCCGUGUGCGGGAUGACGGCCUUCGGGUUGUAAACCGCUUUCGCUCAUGACGAAGCUUUGUGUGACGGUAGUGGGUAAAGAAGCACCGGCUAACUACGUG
rnacentral:rRNA from 1 species